rnacentral:rRNA from 1 species
CCUACGGGUGGCAGCAGUGAGGAAUAUUGGUCAAUGGGCGAGAGCCUGAACCAGCCAAGUCGCGUGAAGGAUGACGGCCCUACGGGUUGUAAACUUCUUUUGUCAGGGAGCAAGUGAGUCCACGUGUGGGCUUAGCGAGAGUACCUGAAGAAAAAGCAGCGGCGAACUCCGUGCCAGCAGCCGCGGUAAUACGGAGGAUGCGAGCGUGAUCCGGAUUUAUUGGGUUUAAAGGGUGCGUAGGCGGAAUAUCAAGUCAGCGGUAAAAAUUCGGGGCUCCACCCCGUCGUGCCGUUGAAACUGUUGUUCUUGAGUGGGCGAGACUUAUGCGGAAUGCGUGGUGUAGCGGU